ensembl:processed_transcript
CACAAUGUAAUAGAGUUUUAGCGCAGUCUUGCUUUUUCAAAGGCGUGUGUCAACUCUGUGUGCCAAGGGCUGCUCCGCUUUUACCAAUGCGAUUAAUGAAGACAACGAACCAAUUGAGGGAACACUAAACUAAUAACCUUCCGUUUCGUUUCGUCUGUUGUUUUUAAUACGGACGAGCUUCGUCUCUGCAAGGAAUCAACCCUCUGCACGAGCACAAAGGAAAAUUUAAAAGGCAAGCAAAGGUCGGUUGUGGAAUGUCACAGCUUUCUCAAACAUCCAGACCUUUAUCCUUGCUCGUCUGCAGUCCUGCUGUCUGAUUGGAUCAUCCUUCAAGGUAAGAACCAAUGGGAAGAAGCUUACUUAACUGGUGAAAAGCAGCUUUAUUCUGUUUUCUCCUCAUGUCCUGCUCUUUUGAUGAAAUUUGCUCAGUGAAGUCAAGUUGAGCCUCUCUGAAGGACAACGACUUGAUUUGAGAGAAAAUUGAGAUAUCAUCCGACUUCAUUAUUUUGACUGGACUAUUCACCCGAGGCCAUCACGUUGGGGACAACGUCUGUCGAUUUUUAGAAGAAUACAAAUAUGAUUUAAAAAAAAAAAAAAAAAACUUCUGACAGUCUGUCACACAAUCUGUUUAAGUCAAGUCUCACUGCAAGUAGGCGACAAACAAUUGAAAAGUAUCAGAUUUGGAGAAAGGAAGGCAGAUUUUUCCAAUGCAACAAAACAGAAACAAGCUGACAAUGGAGAUCACUUAGGAAAGGACAAAACAGAUGAGACUUGAUGUGAAGAGUGUGGAAC